AGAGUUUGAUCCUGGCUCAGAGCGAACGCUGGCGGCAGGCCUAACACAUGCAAGUCGAGCGCCCCGCAAGGGGAGCGGCAGACGGGAGAGUAACACGUGGGAACGUACCCUUCAGUCCGGAACAACCCAGGGAAACUUGGGCUAAUACCGGAUACGUCCGUAAGGAGAAAGAUUUAUCGCUGAAGGAUCGGCCCGCGUCUGAUUAGCUAGUUGGUGAGGUAACGGCUCACCAAGGCUACGAUCAGUAGCUGGUCUGAGAGGAUGAUCAGCCUCACUGGGACUGAGACACGGCCCAGACUCUACGGGAGGCAGCAGUGGGGAAUAUUGGACAAUGGGCGCAAGCCUGAUCCAGCCAUGCCGCGUGGAUGAUGAAGGCCUUAGGGUUGUAAAAUCCUUUCGACGGGGAAGAUAAUGACGGUACCCGUAGAAGAAGCCCCGGCUAACUUCGUGCCAGCAGCCGCGGUAAUACGAAGGGGGCUAGCGUUGCUCGGAAUCACUGGGCGUAAAGCGCACGUAGGCGGCUUUUUAAGUCAGAGGUGAAAUCCUGGAGCUCAACUCCAGAACUGCCUUUGAUACUGAAGAGCUUGAGUCCGGGAGAGGUGAGUGGAACUGCGAGUGUAGAGGUGAAAUUCGUAGAUAUUCGCAAGAACACCAGUGGCGAAGGCGGCUCACUGGCCCGGUACUGACGCUGAGGUGCGAAAGCGUGGGGAGCAAACAGGAUUAGAUACCCUAGUAGUCC
rnacentral:rRNA from 1 species